rnacentral:rRNA from 1 species
AGUGAACGCUGGCGGUAGGCCUAACACAUGCAAGUCGAACGGCAGCACAGGAGAGCUUGCUCUCUGGGUGGCGAGUGGCGGACGGGUGAGGAAUACAUCGGAAUCUGCCCAGUCGUGGGGGAUAACGUAGGGAAACUUACGCUAAUACCGCAUACGACCUUCGGGUGAAAGAGGGGGAUCGCAAGACCUCUCGCGACUGGAUGAGCCGAUGUCGGAUUAGCUAGUUGGCGGGGUAAUGGCCCACCAAGGCGACGAUCCGUAGCUGGUCUGAGAGGAUGAUCAGCCACACUGGAACUGAGACACGGUCCAGACUCCUACGGGGCAGCAGUGGGGAAUAUUGGACAAUGGGCGCAAGCCUGAUCCAGCCAUACCGCGUGGGUGAAGAAGGCCUUCGGGUUGUAAAGCCCUUUUGUUGGGAAAGAAAUCUUUCAGGCUAAUACCCUGGGAGGAUGACGGUACCCAAAGAAUAAGCACCGGCUAACUUCGUG